rnacentral:rRNA from 1 species
AUACGGAAGGUCCGGGCGUUAUCCGGAUUUAUUGGGUUUAAAGGGAGCGCAGGCGGAGAUGCAAGCGUGACGUCAAAUUUCGGGGCUCAACCCCGUCUCGCGUCGCGAACUGCGUCCCUUGGUUGCGGGAAGGGGAGGCGGAACUCGUGGUGGUGCGGUGGAAUGCAUAGAUAUCACGAAGAACUCCGAUCGCGAAGGCAGCCUUCCGGCCCGUCAACGACGCUCAUGCUCGAAGGUGCGGGUAUCAAACAGGAUUAGAUACCCUGGUAGUCCGCACAGUAAACGAUGGACACCCGCGGUUUGGCCUAUAUGGCUGAGCCGCCAAGCGAAAGCGUUAAGUGUCCCACCUGGGGAGUACGCCGGCAACGGUGAAACUCAAAUGAAUUGACGGGG